GACAGGCUUAGCUAUGACUAAAAGUGUUGCUGGGUGUAAGACUAUGGAGGAUACAUCUGUAUUCAACUUAGGGCAAGAGAGCAUCAAGCUUCAGGAAGGAGAGAUUAUGAUUGUUUUACUUGCUUUCAGAUAAUGGAUUCUCUCACUUCUUUUCUUUUCUUUUCUUUUCCUUUUCUUUCUCUCUCUCUCUCUCUCUGUCACAUCUAUAUAGAUAUCCAUUCAUAUAUCCAUACAGGAAAGAAGGAAGGAAGGAAGGAAGGAAGGAAGGAAGGAAGGAAGGAAGGAAGGAAUGAAGGAAGGAAGGAAGAUACCCCAAGUAUAAAUGGAUUCAAGCUACUUGGAAUUUGGUCUACGGAGAUUAACAGCUUGCACAUUAAUUCAAAGCACCAACAGCCCACCUAACCUAAUGCCGUUUUAAAUGAAUUAAAAGCCCUGUUUAGGAAACUUUAAUACUUUAAUAUACUUUAAAUGAAGGAAAUGUGCAUCU
rnacentral:lncRNA from 1 species